UACGUAGGGGGCAAGCGUUUUCCGGAUUUAUUGGGCGUAAAGAGCGUGUAGGCGGCCAGGUAGGUCUGCUGUGAAAACUCGAGGCUUAACCUCGAGCUGUCGGCGGAAACCAUCUGGCUAGAGUCCGGAAGAGGAGAAUGGAAUUCCCGGUGUAGCGGUGAAAUGCGCAGAUAUCGGGAAGAACACCCGUGGCGAAGGCGGUUCUCUGGGACGGUACUGACGCUGAGACGCGAAAGCGUGGGGAGCGAACAGG
rnacentral:rRNA from 1 species